UGCACACAAUUAAAUAUUACUUUACUUGAAGUAGAAAUAAUGUGUUGGUUUCGGCUUGUAGUAUAUUCCGCAAUGAAGCCUCUGCUCAUUCUUUCGGGCAAUGCAAGGCGUAGUGUUAUGUCGUAGUGUUCGAUAAAAAGAAAAAAAUAAAUAAUGCCAAAAUAAAAGUAUUUAAAUCAGUUUUGAAUUAAAAAGUACCAAGAGGAAACGCAACAUAACAGAAACAUUUGUACAAGUGGAAACUAAACGUUAAUUAUUAUACAAUGUCACACUAGUGGCCAGUCUGAAUAAAAAAUGGAUAUAAUUUUUUAUUUCUAUGAAUAUUACACAGUACGGGUAUAUAAUAUCAAUAGAGCAAAUAUUGCAAAAAACUUUUAUUAAUGACGUGUUGACCUGACAUCGAUUAUAGCUGGAUUCGUAAACCCCGCAGUAAAAGUUAUAUUUUUGAAGGUAGACAAAAAGAUUGGAGUAAAUCAAAAGUAAAGGGUACAUCAACCGAUCUUAAUGAACGUAUUAAGUAAGCAUCGGUGCAGACUACACUGUUUCUAUCUUAAUUAAAGAUACAGCUUCUGCGAACCGCUGGUGUUAUGGAACCUAACACAAUGUACAGGCAUAAGGCAUGGGUGCCGUCCCUAGACCUGUUAGGAGACAAAAUUUGUUGAAAGAAAAUGUUUGACCAUUUUCAUAUAACGCGGUGAUAUACGCGGUCCCAGGGCCAUCAGCUCAAGGAUGUGAUGCUUAGUAUAGCCGGAAGUACAAGGAUGGGGUGGUUGCUGUUGGUUUAACAACUCUGCAAGCAGUCUACGACCUGUCACAUCAACGUCUUAGCCACGUGCUUCUCUCCUGAAGAUAUUACAGAAGUUAGGCCGUGAAGCUAUUUAAUGAGACGUCCGUAAGUUCGUACUGCAACUGAUUAUGUCAGUUCUGCUUCGAAUGUAGACAUUCCGUAGAUUUGAUUUUAUAAACAGUUGUUGAUCUCUGUUUAGUGAAUCAGAUUUAAAUAGCAUUACAUAGAUUACUGUACUGAUAUGCAUUUAGUUCAACUAGGUUUAUCUCAAUGGAUAUUCUGUAUUAUGUGAGCAGAUAGUUAGUCGUAGAUAGGUACGAAAGUACGUAGUUUUUUUUCAACGGUUGUUAAUUUCCUGUUAAUUCAUUGAGAAUUGGGUUAGUGCCCUUAGGGGCGGAUUGAGAGAGAUAUGCUUUUUCUUGCAACUACCCCACGUUGGGAAAAGAUUUUUGUUACGCAAAGUUCUAUGAUUAUUUGAAGUGCAACAAUUCGUUUUUCUAAAGAUUGAUUAAGGAAAUUGGAUAUUUUAAUUAUAGUACAAGAGCUUACAAUGUAAUUUGAGGAUUACUCAAGGGUCAAUGUUUGCACAUGUUGAAGGUUAGUAUGUAAGUAGCAUGCUUCAUCUACAUAACUGUACGACGGUUCAGUGAGAUAUCUUUAGACGAUGCUGUACGUAGAAACUACGUGGUCACACCACGUAGAAGCUUUCGAAAUAUUUCUUGAACAUUUCUUUGUUUUUAUCUGAAUGUAUUAUAGUUAAUUCUUUUUUGACUCCCGUUUAGUGAUUGGCCAGGAGCACGCGUGCAACUCGGCCAGUUUCAGAGCCAGUGCUUGCAUGAUAAAUUAUGUUGUUUUGUUUGGUUUUCAUGUUGAAGUGCUGAAGCUUUGUUCAACACGUUCACCAUGUAAAUUUUCAUAUCAGAGUCUUCCACCUUGGAAUCAUAUCGACAUAACGUAGUGGCACCAAUGAUCGACAAGCUCCAAUGAUCGACAAUUUUUUUCUCUAAUUAGAGAAAAUAAGAGUUAUAAUACGAUUUUUUAAUAUAGCUAUACUGUGGCUCAGACAAUACGCUUCCUGCUCUCAUCCAGUGACAUUUGAAAGAAAUCCGCCUUUUUUUUUACAAAUGGCCGUGUGAGAACUUAGUUCGGCUAGUGUUCCUCAUAAAAUAACGGCAUUUCUAAGCGGAUUCUGUAAGAACAUGGCUCCGAGAAAAAACUACACUCUCGACCAGAUUGAAAAAGCAGUUGAAGCUGUUAAGAAUGGAGAAAAGAUAGCAAGUGCUGCGCAACGUUUCGGAGUACCAAGAAUUACUCUUCAUGACAAAAUAACACGAAGAACUUCCAUUGGUUGUAGUAUGGGGCCAAGUACUAAAUAAAAUUAAUUAAUUUUAAUAAAUAUGUAACUAUUGUUGAUUUCCCUAAUUUGUACUUAUUUAAUCUUAUCAGAGUGUAUAGUUUUAUCAAAAUAAAACAGUAUUCAAGAUUAAAGCUUAUUUUGGUGAAGAUUUUUAAAGUUUGUAGUCAGUGUUAUUAGACUUGACAAAUUUUAUAAAAACAAUGUAUGAGUACCUAAACAUAAAAGACAAAUAAAUUAAUACUUACUGAA